UACAGAGGAUGCAAGCGUUAUCCGGAAUGAUUAGGAGUAAAGCGUCUGUAGGUGGCUUUUUAAGUCCGCCGUCAAAUCCCAGGGCUCAACUCUGGACAGGCGGUGGAAACUACCAAGCUGGAGUACGGUAUGGGCAGAGGGAAUUUUCGGUGGAGCGGUGAAAUGCGUAGAGAUCGGAAAGAACACCAACGGCGAAAGCACUCUGCUGGGCCGACACUGACACUGAGAGACGAAAGCUAGGGGAGCGAAUGGG
rnacentral:rRNA from 1 species